UACGGUAGGGGGCAAGCGUUGUCCGGAUUUAUUGGGCGUAAAGAGCGUGUAGGCGGCCAGGCAGGUCCGCUGUGAAAACUCGAGGCUCAACCUCGAGAGGUCGGUGGAAACCGUCUGGCUAGAGUCCGGAAGAGGAGAGUGGAAUUCCCGGUGUAGCGGUGAAAUGCGCAGAUAUCGGGAAGAACACCCGUGGCGAAGGCGGCUCUCUGGGACGGUACUGACGCUGAGACGCGAAAGCGUGGGGAGCGAACAGG
rnacentral:rRNA from 1 species